rfam:Rhizobium sp. Leaf306 contig_1, whole genome shotgun sequence.
ACCAAUUAGCGAGACGAUGAACAUUAGAGCCAAUGUCGUCGACGGCGGCUGUUUCGCAUUGCAUGCCCAUAAGAGUGACCACGGAUGUACUGGCACUUGUGAUUGGGAUCAGAAAGGUCGGGCUAGCCCGACCUUUUUCGUU